rnacentral:sRNA from 1 species
GAAAAAUCUUACAUAACUGAAAAUGGCACCUGUCAGUCAUCAGAUUUACCUAAAGACCCGUACCCACAAUGUCUGCCAGCUAACGCUGUACAGUUGGCAAACAUUACAGUAGGUCUUGGUUCCAAUCAGCUGACUGGUACAGUCUGGCAGUUUCCAUACAACAAUGGGGUAUUGAAAGUAGCUUUUACCAACGUACCCAAUGCACCUAACUACCCAUUCCUGACUCGAUUUGUGGAUGAUAAAGGUGUCGUGUCUGCCAGUUUCUUUGUUGACAUUGCUACUAAUAUCACACAGCCUGCAUUGUUGAAAAUCCCGGAUCUUUGUCCACCAAAAGUUAUUGUUUAGAUUUUUUUAUAUUUGUAAUACGUUUCCUUUGACACAUUUGAUAAGUAAAAUAUAUAUGUAUA